GUACUUACCAUCACAGUAAUAUACCAAGUGUCCUGGUUGCCUACGAAGGCUUGCCACUUCACCUUGCACUGUUCCCCAAACUUUGGACUGAGCUGUGCCAGACUCAGUCAGCUAUGUCAAGAAACUGCGUCAAGCUUCUGUGUGAGGAUCCUGUUUUUGCAGAGUACAUUAAAUGUAUCCUAAUGGAUGAAAGAACUUUUCUAAACAACAAUAUUGUCUACACGUUCAUGACACAUUUCCUUCUAAAGGUAUGUAUGUAGUUCUUCUGAAAUGUCAUUUCUGUGUAAUUAUGUGUGGCUGUUAUUGCUGGUCUUGAAUUUUAGUAUUUGUACACAUUCAUGGACGUGAGUUCUUUUCCAGGUUCAAAGUCAAGUAUUUUCAGAAGCAAACUGUGCCAGUUUGAUCAGUACCCUUAUUACAAACCUGAUAAAUCAGUAUCAAAACCUACAAUCUGAUUUCACCAACCGAGUUGAAAUUUCAAAAGCAAGUGCUUCUUUAAAUGGGGACCUGAGGGCACUUGCUUUGCUCCUGUCAGUACACACUCCCAAACAGUUAAACCCAGCUCUGAUUCCAACUCUGCAAGAGCUUUUAAACAAGUGCAGGACUUGUCUGCAGCAGAGAAACUCACUCCAAGAGCAAGAAGCCAAAGAAAGGAAAACGAAA
rnacentral:lncRNA from 1 species